GAGCACGUAGGUGGGUUUGUAAGUCAGAUGUGAAAGCCUUCUGUUCAACGGAAGAAUUGCAUCUGAAACUGCUAAUCUUGAGUAUAGGAGGGGAGAAUGGAACUUCUGGUGGAGCGGUGAAAUGCGUAGAUAUCAGAAGGAACGCCGGCGGCGAAAGCGAUUCUCUGGCCUAUUACUGACACUCAGUGUGCGAAAGCUAGGGGAGCAAACGGGAUUAGAUACCCCGGUAGUCCUAGCCGUAAACGAUGGGCACUAAGUAGAGGGAAUUACCUAUAUUCUCUCUGCCGUAGCUAACGCAUUAAGUGCCCCGCCUGGGGAGUACGGCCGCAAGGCUAAAACUCAAAAGAAUUGACGGGGGCUCGCACAAGCGGUGGAGCAUGUGGCUUAAUUCGAUGCAACGCGAAAAACCUUACCGGGGCUUGACAUGAUAGAAGUAGGAACCUGAAAGGGGGACGAACGGUAUCCAGUCCGUAGCUAUUACAGGUGUUGCAUGGCUGUCGUCAGCUCGUGUCGUGAGACGUUGGGUUAAGUCCCCUAACGAGCGAAACCCUUGUUUUUAGUUACCAGCGGGUUAUGCCGGGUACUCUAGAAAGACUGCCGUCGUCAAGACGGAGGAAGGUGGGGAUGACGUCAAGUCAUCAUGGCCCUUAUGCCCCGGGCUGCACACGUGCUACAAUGGUCGGUACAGACGGAAGCGAAGCCGAGAGGUGAAGCGAAUCC
rnacentral:rRNA from 1 species